GUCCUAGCCGUAAACGGUGGGCACUAGGUGUUGGAGGCAUCGACACCUCCAGUGCCGCAGCUAACGCAUUAAGUGCCCCGCCUGGGGAGUACGGCCGCAAGGUUGAAACUCAAAGGAAUUGACGGGGGCCCGCACAAGCGGUGGAGCAUGUGGUUUAAUUCGACGCAACGCGAAGAACCUUACCCAGACUUGACAUGCACGGGACCGUGUUGAAAUACACCUUCCCUUCGGGGCUCGUGCACAGAUGCUGCAUGGCUGUCGU
rnacentral:rRNA from 1 species